UACGUAGGGUGCAAGCGUUGUCCGGAAUUAUUGGGCGUAAAGAGCUCGUAGGCGGUUUGUCGCGUCUGCUGUGAAAACUCGGGGGCUUAACCCCGGGCCUGCAGUGGGUACGGGCAGACUAGAGUGCGGUAGGGGGAGACUGGAAUUCCUGGUGUAGCGGUGAAAUGCGCAGAUAUCAGGAGGAACACCGGUGGCGAAGGCGGGUCUCUGGGCCGUAACUGACGCUGAGGAGCGAAAGCGUGGGGAGCGAACAGG
rnacentral:rRNA from 1 species